CGCUGGCUAUUGGCAUCGUGCGUAUUGCGUAAACAGUGGGUCUUAAUAGACGCCUGUGCACGAGCAUCUUGCUAUGAUAAAACGGCCAUGCAUUCGCAUUGCGUCAUGUGAAAAGUAACAACUGCUAGACGGCCUUGGGUACAGCACAUUGUGAUAAUGCACUUAUUGAAAAUAAAGAAGCCAGAUAUACAAGCUUUGACAGUUGAAGAAUAUUUCUCCUGAAAGCUAACGAGGAAAUCGAGUGACAUAUGCGCCACUUUCCUGGUAAGAUAAACAUGGAAGAAUGUUUAAUCUACGUGCCGUUAUUUUUGCAGAUUGAAGUAUCCGCAGGCUUAUUGGAGUGUAGAGCACAACGAUAAUAUCGACAAAAGUGUCAUGGAUACUAAUAACCUAACCUAGACAAACUUGUCUAGCUAUCUAACAUUGAAAAUCGAUCUCGUUAUAUCAGGUUAUAGAUAUAAUUAUAUUUGACAUAUAAUUAUAUUAAAAACAUAGCACUUGUUAUAAUAUUUAGCAUGUGAAAUGAAUUUCUACAUAGGUUUCCUUUUCCUACUUAUGCUGAUAAAAAUAUAAAUUUGCACAAGCAUUCGCAGUCCAAUUAUAAACAUAUAUAGGAUCUCAGUUGCAUUCAGAACAAUAUAGAUUUGCGUAAACAUCCGCAGUUUACUGAUCGUUAUUAUAAGAUAGGUAGAUAGCCAUUAUAAAAUGGUGUAAUUUAUUUUAUAGUAUAAUUUCUAAUUUAUUUUAUAGGUUUAAUAAUCACGUAGAUAGUGCACGGUAUACAACGUUCGUUUAUUUGAGUUGUAAUCAUACAAGUGCAUAACAAAUAUAUUGUGCAAUCAGGUUGAUCUUGUAGAAUGAAGUUGUAGCGGUGUUUCAACAUCGACUUAUGACUUCAUUGAUUCCUCCGACACGUUCGAUGGAACGUUAUGAACGACGAUCCCGAAGAAACGCUCGUGGGCCAACAAACAACUCGACUACGUUAUUAUACUUAAUCGCGGUGUGCGCCCGAAGCGCGACGUUCUCGCGAUUGCUGGAAUGCCGUCCGAUCACUUGUACCCGGUCUAUCAAGGCCGUUGGGAAAUGAAAAUCGUUUCUUUCUGGUCGACUUAUGGAAUCCAAAACAUGUGGGACAUUAAGAAUUUACGUGGACGGGGGAAAAGGCAUCGAUGGUAGGUAAACACGGGUCGGUAUAAAAAUAGAGUGCAUCCUGAAGAUGCAACCUGGUCCCACUGCGAUAUAACAGUUAGCGAUAAAAUCAAAUUGCACAAAUGUGCACCAAAUCGUACUUGUCGGUGAAUUGGGUCGUUCACUUAUAGAUCGGUCGGUAAUUUACCUACGUUCCAUAACUGCAUAAGCAGUUAUUAAAUAUUUUAUUAAAUAUUGGAAAAUUCGCUACUACGCUGUUGAAUUCCGGAUUGUAGAGAACGAGUAUAACUUGUUGUAAUCGUUUGAAAACUUUUUUCAGUAAAAUGCGAUAAAGUCGCACCUUCGUACCUUGAGAGUUUAGGACAAAAAUAAUCAUAUUCUACUGUUUUCGCAAAUAUAUAGAAGGUGAUCCGUAAUUCAUGGGUAGAGAGAUUCUAUGACUUAGAAUAAGAGGAAAAUCAAGAAUAACACAAUUACGCUGGUUUUGUUUCUGAGAAAAUCGAUGACUCCAUUUGUACUAUGAAUACAAUACCUGAAGCAGAGUGACCAUCCUGUAUAGUUGGCAAAAUGGUGUGAAAAAUACCAUAAAUGGGAGGAACUAGGACAAAGGUACAGAUUUUGAGUGAUUAAAUUUAUGGUUUUGAUGAUUCGUCGUAGUGAAUUACUGUUUAUAUAAAUAUAGAAAUGAGUGUCGCUGUUGAUGACAUACUGAUGAUAUCAUUGCAGAUUGUCUCAACAAGUGGCAAUACUUUUUAGUAUUUAUACUUUAUACUGUUUAUGGUAUACUACUCCAACAAUACUCUUUAGUAUUUUACUUAUUAAUAUUUACUAUGAUUAUUUCCAUAUUUCCCGUUCCAUUUCAUUUCAAAGAAAAGGAUGAAAAAUAAUGAAAUAAAGGAUAAAAUAUCAUCACUGUCUUUGGUAAUGCGAAGGUCUUUAAAGGGGAUAUUAAGUAAAAGAGCUAAAUGGUACCAGAAGACGAUUUACCUUCGUGACCACUCUCAUUUACAUACGGAAGUUAUCUAUUUCUCUAAGCGCGAGCACCGAACCAUUACGUUCCAUUUAAUUAACAAUGUGGCAGACAAGCUUCCACCUCGAAGCGCCUCGUAGAUCGAUGUUAACCACACGUUAGAAUCAAUCAUCGCGCGUUCACCGGUGAAACGAUUAGCUUACGAUGAGUAAACAAAUGUUUGAACGAUGCGCAUUACACGGUAGAGCAAAUACACUGCUUCCUGUCGCGUAAUUUGUAGUCGUGACGCUCGCUUCGUAUAUGUAACGAUAGACGCGAUCACUCGAUAAUAACAGAUUCAAGAAUAUUUGCAUAAUACCUACCAGAGUAUACGUUAACCACUUCGUUGUACCUUUUAUCAAUUUUGCCAUCUAAUAUAUUAUGUGAACCUCGCCGCUACAAACUAGUGCGAAUGUUCUACAGGAUAGAUCAGUUAGAUAGAAGAGUAACUAUUGUAGAUGAUGUACCAUUAUCAGUCAUGGUUACGAUUCCGUCACGUGAAGCGCACAACGUAACAACACAACAAUUUUGUAAUUUUGUUUAUUUUCUUUUAGAUCUACGAUCAAAACUCGCAUGAUAAUUAUUUAUCACAGAUUUGUGGCAAACUGAAGAGGAGGAAGGCUAAAUCUAGAGGUUUGAGUUCUUAAGAAAUCAAGAUAGCUGCGACUCUCUCUUUUAAAAGUAACUAACUUAGAAGUUAUUAAUAAUUCAUUUUCAAAUAAUGCUCUGCUUUCAGGCCUUCUACAUUUUUCUACGUUAAACAUGACCAACUCCAGCCACCGUUUCACGUCACGACGUUAGGAUACAGUUACCCUUGCUCGCGAUACAGAUCAUUUCACUUAACGCAUUUCAACCACUCCUCGAGCGUGCCGCAGCUAGUGAUGGGAUCUGAAACACUUCAAAUCGUAUCGCAUCUGUAUAUUCAAAUCGCUUCAAACAUGAUUCGAAGCUUGAAACUCUUGAUCAUGUAGAAGGUCUUGAAUCUUUAAAGUCUUGGCAGUCUUAGAAGUCUUGAUCAUCAUGGAAACCUCGAUCGUCUAGGAAGUGUUGAAAAUUAUGACCAUUUUAAAAGCCUUGAUCGUAUUACAAGUCUCGAUCAUCUUGUGAAAUAAAUGUAUAUAUGAUAAUUUGAUCUUUCCAGGCGUUUUAUAAACAUUUGUUGUAGCUUGCAAAACUGAAACUAACAGCUUCAAAACGAUCAAGACUUUCGAGACUUGAAAGUCUCAAACUUAUCAAGAUUUACAAAAGAGCUUUAAACUUCGAAUCAUGUUCGAAGCGAUCCGAAUUUGUCGCCUCAUACACAAUACAAAUUCGAAGCAAAUCGAAGUGUUUCCAUGUCAUCACUAGCCGCAAUUCGUACCUAAUAACUGGGCAAACACGACAACAAAUUGAAGGAGCCAACAUCCAAACGCACAGCAUGAUUUUUGGACGACUAUUAUCUUCGUGCCUGUAUUUCGCUACAAUUUCAUCGACACGUCCGUUAACCCAGCUACACACAUUGACUGUCGAAUUUCCAACCAGCCAAAUUGCAUACGAUCACGUUAUAAGCGCCCAGAGUAUCAGCGUAUGGUGUAUGAAUAAUGAAUGAGCCUCGGACUGCAUAGUAAGACUGAGAAUACGGUCUUAUACGGUACUGUUACAUCCAGCGAAAAGGUGGGGUUGCACAGUUAAAACUCGUGCAACGAGACAGCCGGCCAAUAAGCAGGCAUAAAGACGACGGCGUUAAAUAACCGGUACUCGUCCUAUCGGCCGAUUGCUUUUUGUUGUAGGCCAUGGCACGUCAGCUCGAGGCUCGAGCACCACUCUGUUGACCAGCGAAACGGCUAAUGUUCUUGUUUUUUUUUCUUGCCUUCUUUCUGUUUUCAUUCUUCUUCUCCUUCGCGUUCUUCUUCUUCUCUUUGUUCCUUUUUGUCUGAUUCUUUUAUUCUUUGCCGAGUUCGAUCGAAUCGAGAAAGAUCGAAGGGAAGCGUUCGAUGGAAACAAUUUUUUAACAAAGGACUCGAUCGUGUUGCGUUAGAAAAGUAUGCUUUGUAAUAAGAUGAAAUUGUAAUGUCUAAUUUAGACAUAUUGUACAAUAUCUAUGUUUUAGGUCAGGUUUCUCGAUAAGAAGAAAAUAGAGUCACUAGUCAUUAGGGAAUGUACCACGAAUCUGCCUCACUAAGUAGCUACAUAUUCUGAAAUAACACAAGCAAUUUGCAUCACACUGAAGCUAAGAAUUUUUGGUGCCAUCUUCUAAUCAAAUGACGAAAAACAUACGCAUUACCAACUUCAAUAGUCUAUAUAAUUGUUUCAUUUGAUCCGAACAGAUGCAUUUAUUAAUCUAUACACAGCAUAAAAUAGAGUUCCCGGUAAGCGCCUGUAUGUUCAGGGCUAAUUUCGAGGACCACUUGAAGAAUUUCGAUGCGGUGUUCUCGAGGAAGAUUUAGAUGUAUGAAACAUUAACCUACGACAAAAGGGAGCAAGAAUAGAACAUUAAGAAUAUGAACCCAGAGGCAGUACACGGAUAUUCGCAACAAAGCAACGAUCUUCUUCGCUGCGAUCGUGUUUAGAAUCGCUGCCACAAUAUAGCGAGACGAUAUGAUCCCCCCUUCGAGCAAUGUCUUUCUCUUCUUAGUGCGCGGCAUGUCAGAAGCUUCACGACUUCGUUGUGUGACAACCGUGUUGUUUCACGGACUGCGAAACACUUAUCGAGCCAAUAAAGAUUCACAAGAUUGUCAGUCAUAUUAUUAAAAAAGAUUAUAUACACAUAAUUACAAAUAUUCAACUUGCAAAUAGGAGAAUAUUUAUUACAAUUCGUGUUAAACUCGAUUCUAUUCGCACUGAAAUUUUUUCAUCGGCGUAUACAGCUGACACAACGUCAUUUAAAAGGACAUAAACGCCUCCACGGAGUGCGUUUAUCCCAAGUCAAUAAAUUCAUGUUCAAGAUCGAUAUCGUGUGCAUUUAACGUCUCCCAUAAACUAUCGAAUCUUACACGAUGAACUAGUUCCGUUGACCAGACAGGUUGCCUCGGCCAUCCUGCACGGAUAUACGUAAAGUCGACGUCCUUAAAUGCAUCAUGCGUCUCGUAAUACUCAUCCGAUUAUCCGUUCAUUCAUUUCGCUUAAUUGCCCACACCGUUAUCAGACGGGCUUUACGCUGAACGUCUGAGGAACGCUGUAUCCUCGGUUGUUUUAUAAAAAGACGAGUUUAUUCAUAUACGGAUCACGUUAUGAUAAUGUGCGAUUAAAUUCAUAUAUAGGUAACUAUGCUUGCAGAGGCAAGUGAGACUAGUUAUGGAAUGUGUGAGAGAGGAUGUUGAAUCACAGGCUGAAGCUAUAAUUACGUACAAGGAUUAUGGAGAAAAUAGUAAAAAGAAUAAAUUAUAGUAAAUACA